rnacentral:rRNA from 1 species
GACGAACGCUGGCGGCGUGCUUAACACAUGCAAGUCGAACGGUGAACCUCUUCGGAGGGGAUCGGUGGCGAACGGGUGAGUAACACGUGGGCAACCUGCCCCCGGCUCUGGGAUAACUCCAAGAAAUUGGGGCUAAUACCGGAUGUUCACCGCUUCCCGCAUGGGUGGUGGUGGAAAGGGUUUCCGGCUGGGGAUGGGCCCGCGGCCUAUCAGCUUGUUGGUGGGGUAGUGGCCUACCAAGGCGACGACGGGUAGCCGGCCUGAGAGGGUGACCGGCCACACUGGGACUGAGACACGGCCCAGACUCCUACGGGAGGCAGCAGUGGGGAAUAUUGCGCAAUGGGCGGAAGCCUGACGCAGCGACGCCGCGUGGGGGAUGACGGCCUUCGGGUUGUAAACCUCUUUCAGCAGGGACGAAGCGCAAGUGACGGUACCUGCAGAAGAAGCACCGGCCAACUACGUG